rnacentral:rRNA from 1 species
AUGUUCAUUUGUCAUUUUGGCCAUGAUUGUUGUGUGCAUCCUAUGAGGUUAAUGUCUACAUGUGUUUUGAUCUACGCCAUGCCAUCUUUCCAGGGGUGUAUGCCAUGUAUUUUUGUGAUCAAUGUGGUGACCAGCACAAGCAUGCAAACUAGGCUUCCUGAUAUUGCUGAUUUUAGUCCCUGUUCUGCUGUUAUUUUGAUGCCAUGUAAACUUGAGGCUACAGAGAGAUCCAUGCAUAUUUUGAGUUACUUCAGUAAGGGUGUUUUGAACAUGUGGUUUUUGUCUAUCCAUUCAUGCCCUUUUUUGCAAUUAUGGAGUAGCCUAGCAUGCCAUUUGAUUGCUCUACUUUUGCUUCAAAAUGUUUCCUGGCAGAUUGUUUACUUGUUAUUCAAUUUAGCCAAGGAUGAUAUAGUUGAUCCUUGCAUGCUAUGGACUUGUUCUUGCCUUGGUUAG